rnacentral:tRNA from 1 species
GGGGAUGUAGCUCAAGUGGAAAACUUCACGCUUUGAAUGCUAGAGGUGCAACGUUCAAUCCCCUGCAUCUCCA